UUUUAUGUAAAAUUGUUAGCAAUGUUAUUAAACCCGACCCGCAUAAUGAACCAGACUACUUUCUGGGUCAUUAGGUCAUCGGGUUAACUAAUUAAAAUUAUAUAUAUGAAAGUUGGUCAACUCUUUCCAUAUGAGUGACACAUCAUCACACUAGUGAAUGUCAUAUGUCAUUCUAAAUUAAUAUUAUU
rnacentral:sRNA from 1 species